UGCAACACAAACCCGCAGCCUGUGAGCGAGCCCCAACCGUCGAUGAGCUACAGUGUGAUAACCGAAGAUUCACUGGACAAAUAGUCGCCCGAACGUCACACCAUUCAGACAUGCCUCGAGCCGUGUUUCGUGUCAGCGGUGGCGGCAGAAGCACGAGCAUGCAGCGUUCGCGACUACCUUUGCGCGGUGUCUGCAACUGAACGGAAGUUCAAUUUGAUGGACCAGCUGACCAGCCAGCCUAUGAAAUUUUCAAAGCCCACCAAACGAAGAGGCGAAGGUGCUAGAAGGUGCUUGACAGCAAUGAUGCCACAUAU
rnacentral:lncRNA from 1 species